GAUGAACGCUGGCGGCGUGCUUAACACAUGCAAGUCGAACGGAAAGGCUCCUGCUUGCCGGGGCACUCGAGUGGCGAACGGGUGAGUAACACGUGGGUGAUCUGCCCUGCACUUCGGGAUAAGCCUGGGAAACUGGGUCUAAUACCGGAUAGGACCAUCGUUUAGUGUCGGUGGUGGAAAGUUUUUUCGGUGUGGGAUGAGCUCGCGGCCUAUCAGCUUGUUGGUGGGGUAAUGGCCUACCAAGGCGUCGACGGGUAGCCGGCCUGAGAGGGUGUACGGCCACAUUGGGACUGAGAUACGGCCCAGACUCCUACGGGAGGCAGCAGUGGGGAAUAUUGCACAAUGGGCGCAAGCCUGAUGCAGCGACGCCGCGUGGGGGAUGACGGCCUUCGGGUUGUAAACUCCUUUCGCCAGGGACGAAGCGAAAGUGACGGUACCUGGAGAAGAAGCACCGGCUAACUACGUG
rnacentral:rRNA from 1 species